AAUUUUAGCUAGAAAUGAUUACAAGUACAUGAACAAAAAUAACCGUAUGUUGUCAAAAGCAGUACAAGUGCGUUGUCCAUGGUCUCACGGCAACAAAUCACUGAUAACCGUCCGAUUGGUCAUCGGCGAAAAUGUCUUAUCCUUCAGACCGAUUGAACAUCCUUCUGAGCUGAUUCUCUCUCGAAAAUUCCAAACAAAAUCCUGUGUCCGAAUGGACCCAAUCUAUACUUCGUUUGAUCAAAUCCAAGUUAUUGAUCCCGAGGCAUACGGAUUCACCGCCCCAGAAUCCCAACUCUAACCGACUCAGCCACGAACUUACGCAGCUGAUCAUUUACUCCUUUUCAGUUGUGGCCACAAUCGAGCUCUCUCGGCCAUACUUCCGUUUUGUUUUCUGCUAUUCCAAUUUCUUCACUCGGGGCAUGUCCUCUUCGCUGUCUCCGAAUGCGAACGAUGGGGAAACUGUUCGAAGGGACCGAAUUCUCUCCAGCAAGUUGUAUUUUGAUGUUCCUUCUUCAAAGGUUCCGGUGAUAUAUUCGUCAUCGUACGACAUCUCAUUUCUUGGAAUAGAGAAGUUGCAUCCAUUUGAUUCGAAGAAAUGGGGUCGUGUAUGCCAAUUCCUUAUUGCCGCUGGAGUUUUAAGGAAAGAUCAAAUCAUUGAGCCUUUCGAAGCUAAGAAGAAUGAUCUUCUUGUGGUUCAUUCCGAAUCAUAUUUGGAUAGUCUGAAGAACAGUUCAAAUGUUGCUAAGAUUAUUGAGGUAACUAGUUACUUGUUUCUUCUUGGGAGUGAGACUUCAGUCUAUGCUAAGGUUCCUCCUGUUGCAUUGUUUCCUCAUUGUGUUGUUGAGGAGAAAGUUCAACGUCCAUUCCGUAACCAGGUUGGAGGGAGCAUAUUAGCUGGAAAAGUAGCAAAAGAGAGAGGAUGGGCCAUCAAUGUAGGAGGUGGUUUUCACCAUUGUUCUGCAGAACAAGGAGGGGGAUUUUGUGUGUAUGCAGAUAUUUCUCUGUGUAUACAUUAUGCCUUUGUUCAGCUAAAUAUAUCGAGGGUAAUGAUUGUUGAUCUUGAUGCCCAUCAAGGAAAUGGCCAUGAAAUGGAUUUUGCCUAUGAUAGACGAGUAUAUAUUCUUGAUAUGUUCAAUCCUGGAAUAUAUCCAUUUGAUCAUGAGGCUAGAAGAUGCAUUGAUCAGAAAGUUGAAGUAGUUAGUGGGACCACAACAAGUGAAUACUUGAAGAAAUUAGAUGAAGCACUCGAGGUUGCUGCCACUUCGUACGAUCCAGAAUUAAUUGUUUACAAUGCUGGGACUGAUAUUCUAGAUGGAGAUCCUCUGGGCUUGUUAAAGAUUAGUGCUGAGGGAAUAGCUAAGAGAGAUGAAAAGGUUUUCAGAUUUGCUCGUGCGAGGAACGUUCCCAUUGUGAUGCUGACAUCCGGUCCUUUCCCUGAACAUGCGGUUACAUGAAAUCUAGCGCUAAAGUCAUUGCUGAUUCAAUCGAAAAUCUCUCGAAGCAAAGUUUAAUUGAUACAGAAAGCUCUCCAGGCAGAACCUAGUCACCAAGUUAAAGUGUGAGGAAUCCUGCAAAGAGGAGUUAAGAUCACGCAGGAGUUUGUUAUACAUUUCACAUGAUCCACGAAUCUCCAGCUUUGCCUUUCCAACGUUUACCACUGCUCCUUUUACAUUUUAGCCCUUCCUCUUUCUCUCUCUUUUUAUGAUUUUUAUGAAAUUAUGCAAUUUUUGUCUGAAAAGUCUGAAUCCACACAGCUGUGUUUGAAUUGUGUAUCACAAUAGGUUUAUAUAGUAUAAUUUUUAUAUGCAAGUUUGUGAGAUUAACAGGCUCAAUUUCAUUAUUCG